rnacentral:rRNA from 1 species
AUUGAACGCUGGCGGCAUGCCUUACACAUGCAAGUCGAACGGUAACAGGUCAAGCUGACGAGUGGCGAACGGGUGAGUAAUAUAUCGGAACGUGCCCAGUCGUGGGGGAUAACGUAGCGAAAGCUGCGCUAAUACCGCAUACGAUCUCUGGAUGACAACGGGGGACUCGCAAGAGCCUCGCGCGAUCGGAGCGGUCGAUAUCAGAUUAGGGAGUUGGUGUGGUAAAAGCCCACCAAGCCGGCGAUCUGUAGCUGGUCUGAGAGGACGACCAGCCUCACUGGGACUGAGACACGGCCCAGACUCCUACGGGAGGCAGCAGUGGGGAAUUUUGGACAAUGGGCGAAAGCCUGAUCCAGCCAUGCCGCGUGCAGGACGAAGGCCUUCGGGUUGUAAACUGCUUUUGUACGGAACGAAACGGCUCUCUCUAAUACGGGGGGCUAAUGACGGUACCGUAAGAAUAAGCACCGGCUAACUACGUGCCAGCCGCCGCCGUAA